rnacentral:lncRNA from 1 species
GCAAGAGAUUUAAAGUUGGGAGUGUUUUCUUGAGAAGUAGAAGAUCUGGUAUUGACCAUAUUGAAUCGAUCUGCUCUGAUACCAAACUGAUAGAAACCAAGAUAAAAAUAAAACUUUACUUAUUAAAUGAAGUGCAGGAAUCUUAAACACUGCAUUAAUCAAUAACUAAGUCUGUAUGGAGUGGACAAAUCUCCAAAUAUAAAGACAAAUAUAAUACUUUUCUUCUUCUUACAGAAUCUCUGCUAGAUACAUAUAUUUAUACUAAACAUAAAGAUAACUCCUAACACAUAAAUAGUUACUGCCGUAGAUAACUGCUAUAGAUAACUGCCUAAUAAUUGCUGCCAAUAACUAUUAUAGAUAAUUACUGCUUAUAUAUUUUAUCCUCUUUAAAAAGAAACUAAGAUAAACGGGUAGUUCAUAUCAAAUAGCCAUUGGAGCAAAACUGCAAAGCCUUCAUCACAGCAACACUGGAACCAGGUUCAUGAGUUGUGUUCGAGUCUGAACUAUUUGAAUGUUGAAGUCUUAUCAAUUAAAGUCUAGGGUUAUUAGACUUUGUUGUUUUGUUCUAGGUUUUUUAUUGAGUUGUAAUAAUUCCUAGAUUUGUAACAAGAAGUAGGUUGGGUUUUUGGAGAAUAGAGCAGAGAGAGUGUUGAGAGAGGUGUAACAAGAAGUGAGUUUGACUUCUAGGGGGUAAAGUUAAGAGAGAGUUUUGAGAGAAUUGUAAUAAAAAGCGAGUUAGACUUUUUGGAGAGUUGAGUCUUCUAUUAUAGUUAAUUGUUGAAGAGUAAAAGGUACUAGAGUUAGUUCCUUUUGACUAUUAAGUUGGAAUCCUGAAAUGAACGCGAAUCUUGAAGUGAAUAAGAUUGUGGUAUGGUUUUUACCUUCCUUGUGGAAGGAAGGUUUCCACAAUAAAAUCUCUGUUUUAUUAUGUCGCGUUCUGUUUGUCUCAACAAAAGUACAAGAAACUGGUUCUUGUAUAGGGGUAAGGUUUCUUCACAAAUCAUAUAUUCAAAUAAUAUCUACAAGUAAACCCCCUUAAAAUGUGGAAUUUGAAAUUUUAAAAAUUAGAUAAGUUACUUCUCGCUGAUGGUUAAUAUCUACAAGUUACUUAACACGGUCAAAGUUGCACCCAAGUGCACACUCGAGGUCUCACAAGUGCACGACCACGCACAAUUCUGAUGGGAAUAUUUAGCCAAGUUCGAUUUUGGAAAUAUCAUUUUUUACCCUUGACCUAUAUAAUUCCUGAUAUUGACCUUAUAAGUGUUCAAAGAAACAUUGAUCAGGAGAAAACCUCAUAACUCUGUGAACCCAAAACCAGAGUUUGUAUUCAGAUUUGGUUGUAAUAUUUUCAAACCUUAUAAAUCGGCAUGUUGCAGAUGACAAGAUACCAUAUGAGAAGUCUUUUUCAGUUUAUAUACCAUGCAAAUCAAUUUACAAUAUGAGAACUCAUUGUUAGAACAUCAACAAUAACGAAAUAACCAUUGGUGUACCAUUAACAUAGUACUCCCACCAUCCUAAUCAUCAUCUAUCAUAUAUCAUUAUUAUUAUUAUAAGUAGGAAGCCUCAAAGAUAAAAGUUGAAAGACCAAUACCCAUCAAAUAUCAAAUAUUGAACCACAUUAAUCAUUUAAUACCUAAACAAUUCUCUUAACAAAAAAUGUAAAGUAACAGAGGAAACUUGCCUCAAGAGAGCGAUAUACCUCGAGCUUCCAGAAGGAGUACCACGGUUCAAUCCCAACAAAAAUUUCACCAGAACUCAAAACACCUCCACGGGAUUCACAUCUACAUAAAAGGAAGUGUUAGACACAAAGCAGGAGGGAGACACACAAAGACAAGGGGGACUUACCUUUGCGAGCUGAUAUCACUCUCUCAUACCAAGAUGGAGAACAUUGUUCACCCAAAGAAGGAGAAAGAGCAAAGAAGCUGAGAGAGGAAAUGGAAACAUGGAAGCGGUGGAUUUUUGGAAAGUGGGAAAAAGAGAGAAUGCUUU